rnacentral:rRNA from 1 species
UUGAUCCUGGCUCAGGAUGAACGCUAGCGGCGCGCUUAACGCAUGCAAGUCGAGCGAUGAGGCUCCCUUCGGGGAGUACAUCAGCGGCAGACGGGUGAGUAACACGUAGAUAACCUGCCCUCAAGACGGGGACAACCUGGUGGAAACAGCGGCUAAUACCCGAUAUGCUCACAGGAUCGGGAGAUCGAGUGAGGAAAGCGCCCCUUCGGGGGAGAGUGUUUGAGGAGGGAUCUGCGGCCCAUCAGCUAGUUGGUGAGGUAACGGCUCACCAAGGCGAAGACGGGUAGGGGGUGUGAGAGCAUGGCCCCCCACAAUGGGACUGAGACACGGCCCAUACUCCUACGGGAGGCAGCAGCGGGGAAUAUUGCGCAAUGGACGGAAGUCAGACGCAGCGACGCCGCGUGGGUGAGGAAGGCCUUCGGGUUGUAAAGCCCUUUUCAGGGGAGCGAGAAAGGACGGUACCCUUGGAAUAAGCGUCGGCUAACUACGUGCCAGCAGCCGCGGUAAGACGUAGGACGCAAGCGUUAUCCGGAUUUACUGGGCGUAAAGCGCCUGUAAGCGGUCAAGUAAGUCGGAUGUGAAAGCCCCGUGCUCAACGCGGGGAAGCCAUUCGAUACUGCGUGACUAGAGAACGGCAGAGGGAAACGGAAUUUCUGGUGUAGCGGUAAAAUGCGCAGAGAUCAGAAAGAACACCGAUGGCGA